CGGAAGAGGGCCGGUGAGUGGCUGGAGCGGUGGGCACCAAACAGCGAGUGACGUCGUGUCGACGCCCCGCCCCUUCCUUGGAGCGCGGAGACUCGGGCUACGGGGGCUCCGGCCAAUCAGAGCGAAGGCCCGAGGAUGACAUGGUGAGGGCCUUCUGCUCAAGAUCCCCUCGGGCGCUGCGGAUGGAGGUUCGGGGAGCCUUAGAACCUCAUAGACUAGUUUUGAAUUCCAGCGCUGCCAGGGACUAGCCUGUGGCUUCCAGUAAGUGUUUUAACCGCCCUGCUGCUUAGUUUCCUCUUCUGUGAAAUGGGAACCCAGAGGACAACACCUACUCCUAAAAUAAACCGGACUAGAAGAGACA
rnacentral:lncRNA from 1 species